rnacentral:tRNA from 1 species
CGGGCUGUGGCGUAGUCUGGUAGCGCACUUGCAUGGGGUGCAAGGGGUCAAGAGUUCGAAUCUCUUCAGCCCGACCA